CAGUGUUACAUCUCUUUUAGAAUUUGUCUAGCAGCUUUUCCAGUUUUCACCGGGCGGGGGUGGGGGAGAAGUAAA
ensembl:snRNA U7 U7 small nuclear RNA